rnacentral:rRNA from 1 species
UACGUAGGGAGCAAGCGUUGUCCGGAAUCAUUGGGCGUAAAGCGCGCGUAGGCGGCCCUGUAAGUCCGUUGUGAAAGUCAAAGGCUCAACCUUUGAAAGCCGAUGGAUACUGCAGGGCUAGAGUCCGGAAGAGGCGAGUGGAAUUCCUGGUGUAGCGGUGGAAUGCGCAGAUAUCAGGAGGAACACCAAUGGCGAAGGCAGCUCUCUGGUACAUGAUUGACGCUGAGACGCGAAAGCGUGGGGAGCGAACAGG